UACAGAGGUCUCAAGCGUUUGUUCGGAUUCAUUGGGCGUAAAGGGUGCGUAGGCGGCGCGGUAAGUCGGGUGUGAAAUCUCGGAGCUUAACUCCGAAACUGCAUUCGAUACUGCCGUGCUUGAGGACUGGAGAGGAGACGUGGAAUUUACGGUGUAGCGGUGAAAUGCGUAGAUAUCAGGAGGAACACCAAUAGCGAAGGCAGCUCGCUGGGACGGUACUGACGCUGGAGGCGACGAAAGCGUGGGGAGCGAACAGG
rnacentral:rRNA from 1 species